rnacentral:rRNA from 1 species
GACGAACGCUGGCGGCGUGCUUAACACAUGCAAGUCGAACGGAAAGGCCCUGCUUUUGUGGGGUGCUCGAGUGGCGAACGGGUGAGUAACACGUGAGUAACCUGCCCUCGACUUUGGGAUAACUUCAGGAAACUGGGGCUAAUACCGGAUAGGAGCUCCUGCUGCAUGGUGGGGGUUGGAAAGUUUCGGCGGUUGGGGAUGGACUCGCGGCUUAUCAGCUUGUUGGUGGGGUAGUGGCUUACCAAGGCUUUGACGGGUAGCCGGCCUGAGAGGGUGACUGGCCACAUUGGGACUGAGAUACGGCCCAGACUCCUACGGGAGGCAGCAGUGGGGAAUAUUGCACAAUGGGCGGAAGCCUGAUGCAGCAACGCCGCGUGCGGGAUGACGGCCUUCGGGUUGUAAACCGCUUUCGCCUGUGACGAAGCGUGAGUGACGGUAAUGGGUAAAGAAGCACCGGCUAACUACGUG